GACAGAGGGUGCAAGCGUUGUUCGGAAUUACUGGGCGUAAAGGGCUCGUAGGCGGCCAACUAAGUCAGACGUGAAAUCCCUAGGCUCAACCUAGGAACUGCGUCUGAUACUGGAUGGCUUGAAUCCGGGAGAGGGAUGCAGAAUUCCAGGUGUAGCGGUGAAAUGCGUAGAUAUCUGGAGGAAUACCGGUGGCGAAGGCGGCAUCCUGGACCGGCAUUGACGCUGAGGAGCGAAAGCUAGGGGAGCAAACGGG
rnacentral:rRNA from 1 species